UACGGAGGAUGCGAGCGUUAUCCGGAUUCAUUGGGUUUAAAGGGUACGUAGGUGGCCUUAUAAGUCAGUGGUGAAAACCUGUCGCUUAACGAUAGGCGUGCCAUUGAUACUGUUUGGCUUGAGUACAGUUGAGGUAGGUGGAAUGUGUAGUGUAGCGGUGAAAUGCAUAGAUAUUACACAGAACUCCGAUUGCGAAGGCAUCUUACUAAGCUGAGACUGACACUGAUGUACGAAAGCGUGGGGAUCGAACAGGAUUAGAUACCCUGGUAGUCCACGCCGUAAACGAUGCUCACUGGCUGUAUGCGAUAUAUUGUAUGUGGCCAAGCGAAAGCGCUAAGUGAGCCACCUGGGGAGUACGCCGGCAACGGUGAAACUCAAAGGAAUUGACGGGGGCCCGCACAAGCGGAGGAACAUGUGGUUUAAUUCGAUGAUACGCGAGGAACCUUACCUGGGCUUAAAUGGGAGCAGACGGAUUUGGAAACAGGUCUUUCUUCGGACUGCUUUCAAGGUGCUGCAUGGUU
rnacentral:rRNA from 1 species